rnacentral:rRNA from 1 species
AGCCGCGGUAAUACGGGAGGGGCGAGCGUUACCCGGAUUCACUGGGUGUAAAGGGUCUGCAGGCGGUCAAGUAUGUCCGACUUGAAAUACUCCGGCUCAACCGGAGAACGGGGUCGGAAACUGCUUGACUCCGAGUUCGGAGGAGGAAAACGGAACUGCCGGUGUAGCGGUGAAAUGCGUAGAUAUCGGCAGGAACACCAGUGGCGAAGGCGGUUUUCUACUCCGUUACUGACGCUGAGGGACGAAAGCGUGGGGAGCGAUCGGGAUUAGAUACCCCGGUAGUCCACGCCGUAAACGAUGGAUGUUAGGUGUCGGCCCGGUCAAACGGGUCGGUGCCGAAGCUAACGCGUUAAACAUCCCACCUGGGAACUACGGCCGCAAGGCUGAAACCCAAAGGAAUUGACGGGGGCCCGCACAACCGGUGGAGUAUGUGGUUUAAUUCGAUGAUACGCGAGGAACCUUACCUGGGCUUGACAUGCUGGUGGUAGGACCCCGAAAGGGGAACGACUCCGGCGUAAGCCGGGGAGCCUGCACAGGUGGUGCAUGGCC